AAAGUCUGACGGAGCAACGCCGCGUGAACGAAGAAGGUCUUCGGAUUGUAAAGUUCUGUGAUUCGGGACGAAAGGGUUUGUGGUGAAUAAUCAUAGACAUUGACGGUACCGAAAAAGCAAGCCACGGCUAACUACGUGCCAGCAGCCGCGGUAAUACGUAGGUGGCAAGCGUUGUCCGGAAUUAUUGGGCGUAAAGCGCGCGCAGGCGGUUUCUUAAGUCCAUCUUAAAAGCGUGGGGCUCAACCCCAUGAGGGGAUGGAAACUGGGAAGCUGGAGUAUCGGAGAGGAAAGUGGAAUUCCUAGUGUAGCGGUGAAAUGCGUAGAGAUUAGGAAGAACACCGGUGGCGAAGGCGACUUUCUAGACGAAAACUGACGCUGAGGCGCGAAAGCGUGGGGAGCAAACAGGAUUAGAUACCCUGGUAGUCCACGCCGUAAACGAUGGAUACUAGGUGUAGGAGGUAUCGACCCUCCUGUGCCGGAGUUAACGCAAUAAGUAGCCGCCUGGGGAAGUACGAUCGUAAGAUUAAAACUCAAAGGAAUUGACGGGGCCC
rnacentral:rRNA from 1 species